UACGGAGGGUGCGAGCGUUGUCCGGAAUCACUGGGCGUAAAGGGCGCGUAGGUGGCGGGAUAAGCGUGUGGUGAAAGCCCGGGGCUCAACCCCGUGUCUGCCAUGCGGACUGUCUUGCUCGAGCGUAGUAGAGGCAGGUGGAAUUCCGGGUGUAGCGGUGGAAUGCGUAGAGAUCCGGAAGAACACCGGUGGCGAAGGCGGCCUGCUGGGCUACUGCUGACACUGAGGCGCGACAGCGUGGGGAGCAAACAGG
rnacentral:rRNA from 1 species